UAGGGGGCAAGCGUUAUCCGGAUUUACUGGGUGUAAAGGGAGCGUAGACGGCAGCGCAAGCCUGGAGUGAAAGGAUGGGGCCUAACCCUGUGACUGCUCUGGGAACUGUGCGGCUGGAGUGCCGGAGGGGUAAGCGGAAUUCCUAGUGUAGCGGUGAAAUGCGUAGAUAUUAGGAGGAACACCAGUGGCGAAGGCGGCUUACUGGACGGCAACUGACGUUGAGGCUCGAAAGCGUGGGGAGCAAA
rnacentral:rRNA from 1 species